rnacentral:lncRNA from 1 species
GUGACGGAUCGCAUCCUGCCAGCUGGCUAAUAUUGUAAUUAACAAAGUUGCAACCACAUCGGAGAAGUUUAAUCGAAAAAUUUGCCGGCACUAUGAUGGCAUUGUCCCAGAGAUCACAAGCUAGGCAGACACGACUUUCGCUCUGGGAGAAGGAGAGAUGAGGAAGUCUGAACUUGUCCAGCCUGAGCUUCUCAAGCACCUCUUAAGCUUCGUUAAUGAGGUCCGUUGUGGAAUAUCUGGUGCAUUCCCAUGUUGGGAAUAAAAAUCUCGCCCCCUUGAAGCUCUGACUGAGAAGUCAACAAAGGCUGACUACAUUCAUCUUUGCUUCUUAGGUUGAAAUCUACAUCACCCAUGGAAAAGAUCAUUUCUGCUAGAGAUUUAAAAAUUUGAUUUGGAAAAUCAUUUGGAAAGUGUAAACCAUGUUGUUUCCCAAACAAGAAAGAAAAUACCUGGGCAUAUCCCUCAACAGAUGAAAUCUUGAUUGGAAUGACAUUUGUGUGGUCACUUUCUGGAGCCCAAGGACUGCUGUCUUUCUCGGAGGUUGUGCAUAACAUUGAAGGGGCUCCUACAAGAGAGCGUUGAGUCUGAAUUGCCAGUCCCCAAAGGCCUGGUUAUGAUUGAAGCUGUGCUUGCUCUGGAGAGCUGUGCACGUAAAGGCCAGGAGGGCAAAAGUUUGGGUAAUUCACUCCCAAGAACAGAUGAACAAGGAGAACAGGUACUCUGA